rnacentral:rRNA from 1 species
UGAGUCAUUGUAGCAAUACAAGGCAUACGGCUCAGUAACACGUAGUCAGUCUACCCUAUGGACGGGGAUAACCUCGGGAAACUGAGGAUAAACCCCGAUAGAUCAUUAUGCCUGGAACGGUUUAUGGUCCAAAUGAUUCGUCGCCAUAGGAUGGGACUGCGGCCUAUCAGCUUGUUGGUGAGGUAAUGGCCCACCAAGGCUAUUACAGGUACGGGCUCUGAGAGGAGAAGCCCGGAGAUGGGUACUGAGACACGGACCCAGGCCCUAUGGGGCGCAGCAGGCGAGAAACCUUUGCAAUGUGCGCAAGCACGACAAGGUUAAUCCGAGUGUUUCCUGCUAAAGGAAUCUUUUGUUAGUCGUAAAACCACUAGUGAAUAAGGGGUGGGCAAGUUCUGGUGUCAGCCGCCGCGGUAAAACCAGCACCUCAAGUGGUCAGGAGGAUUAUUGGGCCUAAAGCAUCCGUAGCCUGUUCUAUAAGUUUCCGGUUAAAUCCAUUAGCUCAACUAAUGGGCUGCCGGAAAAACUGUAGAACUAGGGAGUGGGAGAGGUAGACGGUACUCGGUAGGAAGGGGUAAAAUCCUUUGAUCUAUUGAUGACCACCUGUGGCGAAGGCGGUCUACCAGAACACGUUCGACGGUGAGGGAUGGAAGCUGGGGGAGCAAACCGGAUUAGAUACCCGGGUAGUCCCAGCUGUAAACGAUGCAGACUCGGUGAUGCCCUGGCUUGUGGCCAGUGCAGUGCCGCAGGGAAGCCGUUAAGUUUGCCGCCUGGGAAGUACGUACGCAAGUAUGAAACUUAAAGGAAUUGGCGGGGGAGCACCACAAGGGGUG